rnacentral:lncRNA from 1 species
UCUCCCAUCUUCUUCCUCCUCAAACCUUUGCAGCCCUCACCACCCAAAACCCUAGCCGCCCCCCCCAUUUCUCUCCCUCCUCCAAGGUGCAGCCCUCCCGUGUGGUUCUCCGUCGUGUGGCUGCGAUCUCAAUUGGAGUUUGGAGGGAGGAAGAAGGAAGGAGGAAGGGAAGAACCUAAGGUGAAUUUGUGAUUAACUUUUGUUGUUUUUGUGCUGCAAUCAAUUGGAUUAUGUGUUUAUCUUUGCGAAUCGGUAGAGGUGCUGUCCAGGAAUUUUGUGAGUGGGUGAACAGCAGUAGUUCUAGGGAUUUCUGGGAAUUUUCGUGGGGUAAUUAGUGGGAAUCAGUGGGAUAAUCAUGUAGAGCUUUGUCAUACCUUUCCAACGAGUACUUAUGCGCUCGAUUCGGAGUUAUAAUUUAGGAGAUAUCGUUGUUUGAAUCCGGGUAUGUUGCUGUCCAAAAAAACAGAUUUUUCAGGUGGGUGAACAGCAGUAGUAUUAGCAGUUUCUGAGAAUUUUUCGUGGGUAAUUAGUAUUAACCAGUAUUAUAAUCAUGUAGGGCUUUAUCUUAUCUUUCCAAUGAGUACUUAUGUGCUUGAUUUGGAAUUAUAUUUUAAAAGAUAUCGCUGUUUGAAUCCGGGUAUGUUGCUGUAAAAAAAACAGAUUUUUCAGGUGGGUGAACAGCAGUAGUAUUAGCAAUUUCUGGGAAUUUUUCGUGGUUAAUUAGUGCUAACCAGUAUGAUAAUCAUGUAUGGCUUUGUCUUAUCUUUCCAAUGAGUACUUAUGCGCUUGAAUUGGAAUUAUAUUUUAAAAGAUAUCGCUGUUUGAAUCCGGGUAUGUCACUGUCCAAAAGAGAAAAAAACAGAUUACAGGGUUCAUCUUGUGAACUAUUUUGGGCUAAUUAGAUGUUGGAAUUUAAUUAUAAAUUGUAUACAAAACUUGUGGGGAAUUUUAUGUAGAUGCCUCUGGAGUUUUUGUUUGUUACCAAUGCUGUCAUAAUUUUGAAGUUAUGAAAUUAUUAAGCAGCGUCGCUGCAGUUUGGUGGGUGUGGGGAGAGAUGUAACCCGCGGCGGGGUUUGAGUUUGUGCGUAGGUGCGGCAUCGUUUAUGAGCCUGGUUAUGUGAAAUUGGUGCACUAAGUUGUGUGUCAAAAACAGGUGGUGGACUUCCGGAUCGUACUUAGGGAUUUGCCCAAACUUCCGGUAAAGGCAAGUAAAUAAAGUGGUGGUUGCUACCGUUUGGUUUGCAUCCUAUUCCCUGUCAUUGAGUAUGCAUAAGUUUUUAAUUAUGUUAAUCAUUGAAUUCUAUGAUGAAGUUUAUUUGUUUGGAAGUAUUAAUUCUCAAUUGUCUAAUAUUGUGGAUGAUCAUAAUUUGGUUAUGAUAUAUGUGGUUGAUUCCCAUCUUGGAUGAAGUUGAAGUAUCUUUUUGAAUCACGUUAUAUGAAGUGUUGUAGGCAUGACAUGCACAUCACAUCAUCCAUCUUGCAUUUUGAAGUUAUGUCGUGAUCUUAUGGUCCGACCGUACCGGUACAUUUUUAGCAUCGUACGUUGCCCGAGGAGGGGUACGAUGCGGCUUCAUAUCCUUAGAGGUAUGAAGGCAGAAGUCAUCCUUGCAUUUGCAGACAUUUGCAUUCAUGAGGAAUAUAUGAAGUGUGACAUUACUAUGUUACUAUUGUGGUUUCUACCUGCGAGGUGUGGUAACUAGGUGUGUUGUACGUUGUAUACGUGCUGCACCUUGGUAAUAAGAAGGUUGUGGAAUCAGGUGAUGGUAAAACAAUGUUCUUAUGUGGUUGAAUAGUUUUAUAUUAUUUUACUUGCUGAGAUGUGUCAUCUCACUCUUGCAUUACUCAAUGCAGGUACUUGAUGCAUGUUGGGAAUGAGGGGAGUAGCAGCACGUCCACUUACACUCUCACAAUAACGCUGCCCAGGCGUAGCCAUGAUUUAAUUAGAAACUUAUUGUCAAGGAAGUUUGUUUUUUUUAUAGUCGUGUGCACUGGUUAAUUCAGUUCAGGUCGUACGUUUAUCUUCCCUUGCUAGCCGAUUAAUAAUACUUAGUAUGUUUUUGUCAUGAUAUAUGUUUAUACCCUGUUGCCCCCUUAUUUAUGCAAAUCUUGCCAAGGGGAUGCUGCCGAAAUUUUAUAUAUGGACGUCAGAAGUGUAGUUCAGUAGCAUUCUAGGUUGUUUGUGGAACCUGGGGUG